GAAAAAAAAAGGGUCCACUUGUUGUGAACAGUGCCGAUCAACGGUGCCCUCAUGAACAGUGCAUAUGAACAAUACACAUAAACAUUAUUAAAGCCUGUCCGAAUGAAUCAAAAGCUUUGAUAUCAAGUUGAAACUAUUAUAUUUGAGAGAAAUCUUUGUAUUUUUCACAUACAAAAUUUUUUGUACAUGCUUCUAUUUAUACACAAGUGAUUUAUCUUAACAAGGA
rnacentral:misc_RNA from 1 species